rnacentral:rRNA from 1 species
GUAGGCGGACAUGUUAGUCAGAUGUCAAAUCCUCCGACUCAAUCGGAGAACUGCAUUUGAAACGGCAUGUCUAGAGGGAGUGAGAGAUCUAUGGAACUCAUGGUGUAGCAGUGAAAUGCGUUGAUAUCAUGAGGAACACCAAAGGCGAAGGCAUUAGAUUGGCACUCUCCUGACGCUGAGAUGCGAAAGUGUGGGUAGCGAAUGGGAUUAGAUACCCCAGUAGUCCACACCGUAAACGAUGUAUAUUAGGCAUUGGAAGUAUCGACCCUUUCAGUGUCGUAGCUAACGCGUUAAAUAUACCGCCUGGGAAGUACGGCCGCAAGGCUAAAACUCAAAGGAAUAGACGGGGAUCCGCACAAGUGGAGGAUCAUGUGGUUCAAUUCGACGAUAAGCGAGAAACCUCACCAGGGCUUGAAACUAAGCUGCAAGGCCAAGAAAUUGGUCCGCCUUCGAGGGUGCUUAGCAGGUGCUGCAUGGUUGUCGUCAGCUCGUGUCGUAAGAUGUUCCGUUAAGUCGGGAAACGAGCGCAACCCCUGUCGUGUGUUAUAUAUGUCACACGAGACUGCCCAGACUUUUGAGCACAAGCUCAAAAAUGUAUCAUGUAUUUUGUAGUAUGUAUUAUGUAUGAAUUGAAUUUAUACAUUAUACUUUAUACAUUAUACUUUAUACUUUUUUGUUCGCUUGCGAACAAAAGUCUGGGAGGAAGGAGGGGAUGACGUCAAAUCAGCAUGGCCCUUUGACGCCCUGGGCGACACACGUGAUACAAUGGCCGGUACAGAGGGUUGCCAAACCGCGAGGUGGAGCUAAUCCCAAAAAGCCGGCCCCAGUUCGGAUAGGAGUCUGCAACUCGACUCCUUGAAGCCGGAUUCACUAGUAAUCGGAGAUCAGAACGCUCCGGUGAAUACGUUCUCGGAUCUUGUACUCACCGCCCGUCACACCAAGAGAGUCGGUAACACCCGAAGGCCCCGGGUUAAAUCGGGGACAACGGUGGGAUCGAUAAUAAGGGUGAAGUCGUAACAAGGCAUCCGUAGCGGAAGCUGUGGAUGGAUCACCUCCUU